rnacentral:rRNA from 1 species
GACGAACGCUGGCGGCGUGCUUAACACAUGCAAGUCGAGCGGUAAGGCCCUUUCGGGGGUACACGAGCGGCGAACGGGUGAGUAACACGUGGGUGACCUGCCCUCAGCUCUGGGAUAAGCCUGGGAAACUGGGUCUAAUACUGGAUAUGACUCCACGGUGCAUGUCGUGGGGUGGAAAGCCUUGUGCGGCUGAGGAUGGGCCCGCGGCCUAUCAGCUUGUUGGUGGGGUGANGGCCUACCAAGGCGACGACGGGUAGCCGGCCUGAGAGGGCGACCGGCCACACUGGGACUGAGACACGGCCCAGACUCCUACGGGGGGCUGCAGUAACGAAUCUUCCACAAUGCACGAAGGUGUGAUGGAGCGACGCCGCGUGUAGGAUAG